UACGUAGGGGGCAAGCGUUGUCCGGAUUUAUUGGGCGUAAAGAGCUCGUAGGCGGCUCACUAAGUCGGAUGUGAAAACUCCAGGCUCAACCUGGAGACGCCAUUCGAUACUGCUGUGACUGGAGUCCGGUAGGGGAGCGUGGAAUUCCUGGUGUAGCGGUGAAAUGCGCAGAUAUCAGGAGGAACACCAGCGGCGAAGGCGGCGCUCUGGGCCGGUACUGACACUGAGGAGCGAAAGCGUGGGUAGCAAACAGG
rnacentral:rRNA from 1 species